rnacentral:rRNA from 1 species
UACGUAGGGGGCAAGCGUUGUCCGGAUUUAUUGGGCGUAAGGAGCGUGUAGGCGGCCAGGUAGGUGGGUUGUGAAAACUGGAGGCUCAACCUUCAGACGUCGACCCAAACCCCCUGGCUAGAGUCCGGAAGAGGAGAGUGGAAUUCCUGGUGUAGCGGUGAAAUGCGCAGAUAGUCGGGAAGAACACCCGUGGCGAAGGCGGUUCUCUGGGACGGUACGUGACGCUGAGACGCGAAAGCGUGGGGAGCGAACAGG